GGAAGUGACGAACGAGUCAAUCGAAUCGGUGAAUACAGAGGGCGAGCUGACCCCUGGCCGCCGCCACAAUGGGCCGCGAGUUUGGGAAUCUGACGCGGAUGCGGCAUGUGAUCAGCUACAGCUUGUCACCUUUCGAGCAGCGCGCCCAUCCGCACGUCUUCACUAAAGGAAUCCCCAACGUUCUGCGCCGCUUUCGGGAGUCUUUCUUUCGCGUGGUGCCGCGUGAGUGCCCUGGGCCCGCGGGAGCGGGAGGCUGGACCCCAGCAGCAGCAGUAGUCACUGCGCCUCCCCUCUGAGCGCUGGCGGCCGGGAAGGCGCUCUGUAACUUGCCGUAUACACCGUUCUCAUUGAAUAUUCCUGACAGCCCUUAAGUUGGUCAUAUUAUCUUCCCCAUCUUACACGGGGAAAACUGAGUUACAGAACUGAAAUGACUGGCCCAAGGUCACUCGGGUGAUUCCAGCGUGUUCCUCUGAGGUCAUCUUUAUUUAGUUCUUACCAGUGGUGAAAUGCUUUGUGUUAAACGUGCAGCAGAUAGUGAUGAUAGUUGCAUGGCCUUGGAUAUGCUAAGAACUACUGAAGUGUAUACUUUAAAGAAGACAAGAGGACUGAGACCUUUUUUCUUCUAUGUGCCUUAUAUGUGUGCUCUCUGUUUACUCCCUUAAUUUUUAAAGAGUUUGUAGUGUUUUAUCUUAUCUACACAUGGGGGACUGAAGAAUUCGAGAGAUCCAAGAGGAAGAAUCCAGCUGCCUAUGAAAAUGACAAAUGAGCAACGCAUCUGGAUGACGGUUCCCUGUCUCUGAAAGACCUUUCUCUGGAAGAGGAGUCUGCAUUGUAGUGUCUCAAAGACACAAUAAACUUCCUAUGGUCUGCA
rnacentral:sRNA from 1 species